ACAAGUACCGUGAGGGAAAGUUGAAAAGCACUUUGAAAAGAGAGUGCAAGAGAACGUGAAACCGUUAUAGUGGAAACAGAUAGAGUUGACGUAUCUAGUGCGUAUUCAGCUUGAUUGUUUUGUGAUUUGGAGGCUUGGAGUUCUGUAAAGUCUCCUGCUUUCAUUGUUGCAUUGCAAUAAAGUGCAUUUGCGUACAGAGUGCGCCGAAUCGAUUGAGUUCGCUGUUUGAAAAUCGUAGAGAGGACCAACUUGUUGGAACCCUAGACGAUUGAAUGGCAGAUGAGCUUGGUCGUCAAAAUGGGCUGGUAUUUCGUGGCAGUAGUUGCAAAUUGAGGCUGUCUAUGUACGAUGCAUGCGUUUUGCAUUUAUGGCUUUAGUUUGUGGCGAUUGCUGCUCUGCCCUUCAUUCGGUGUUUAGUCAAUACCUAUUUGACCCGUCUUGAAACACGGACCAAGGAGUUUAAGGUGUACGCAAGUCAUUGAUUGUUAAAAGUCAUAGGCGUAAUGAAAGUGGGGCACUUGGUGUCUGUGAUGUGAGCUUUUUUGAUCUCGAUCGACUGAGCGCAACAUCGACCCAUGACUAGGAUUUAUUCUGUUGUGGAGUCUGAGCGUACGCUUUGAGACCCGAAAGAUGGUGAACUAUGCCCGAACAGGACGAAGUCAGAGGAAACUCUGAUGGAAGUCCGAAGCGGUUCUGACGUGCAAAUCGAUCGUCUGAUUUGGGUAUAGGGGCGCAAGACUAAUCGAACCAUCUAGUAGCUGGUUCCUUCCGA
rnacentral:rRNA from 1 species